CGCUAGCGGCAGGCUUAAUACAUGCAAGUCGUGGGGCAGCAUGAGUAGCAAUACUUGAUGGCGAACCGGCAAACGGGUGAGGAACACGUACACAACCUUCCUUCAAGCGGGGAAUAGCCCAGAGAAAUUUGGAUUAAUACCCCAUAAUAUAUUUGAUAAGGCAUCUUAUUAAUAUUAAAGCUUCGGCACUUGAUGAUGGGUGUGCGGCUGAUUAGAUAGUUGGCGGGGUAACGGCCCACCAAGUCUACGAUCAGUAGCUGAUGUGAGAGCAUGAUCAGCCACACGGGCACUGAGACACGGGCCCGACUCCUACGGGAGGCAGCAGUAAGGAAUAUUGGACAAUGGACGAAAGUCUGAUCCAGCUAUGCCGCGUGAAGGAUUAAGGUCCUCUGGAUUGUAAACUUCUUUUAUAUGGGACGAAGAAAGGGCAUUCUUGUUCACUUGACGGUACCAUAUGAAUAAGCACCGGCUAACUCCGUG
rnacentral:rRNA from 1 species